CCGGACUUCGCCCCCCAGGAAUUCUACCCCACUGACCGCUUUGCCAAUUGUGAACCAAUCGUUGAUCUGAUCUACGGUGAGUUUUCGCAACAUGGCUCAACCCUAAGAAGCCGCGAAGAAAGAAAUCUAUCCUUCCGUCGACCGAUCCGCGCUGAAUUUAUUAGUGGGCCCCGCCCGGCUACAGCCACGUGCCCAAUUAAGACCUCGAAUUUCUGCACUUGUUCAGCGAACCUGGGGAGCUGUAGGCGGGCGAAGCGGGAUGAAGAGCCGUUCUAGGGAAACGCUGUUUCCGUACCCAGCAACCCUUGCGGCAUUCUUACUUUACAAUCAUCCGUUUGUGACCUUUCUUUCCUGGGGUUUCUCUGACUUUGAAGAUGCUGGCUAAUGUUUCAAAGUUGUGGGCUAUGUAUAAACCUUCAAAAGAAAUUCAGCCUAUCGUGUUUUCUGCAAUCUUAACGGGAUACGUUUUUUACAGACUUGAAUUUGGAGGUAAAAAUGCAGCGGAAAGAAGAGCAGCGGAAAAAGAGAAGAGUAAGUGCUAGUAUAAUUGGAAAAGCAUAUAGAUCUGUCAUAAUUACAUUUCAUUAAUUAAGAUCUUAAUGUAGAACUUGACAGUGGUUCUGCAUUUAUUGUUAGUACCAAACGUGUACAUAAACCUCUGAAAGUAAUGAUACUUCUUCUGAAUCUAAGAUUUUCUUAAUAUAUAUAGCCAUUAAAUAAGAUUCACAUUUUACUUGGCAUGAAUCUAGGCUAGCUGGGCUCCUUCUUUCCACAUGGUGGAAACUAAAAUAGUGUGAUAUAUGGAAAAGUAAAGAGUAGCUCUAAAAACCAUCAGUGACUUUUAUGAUUGUAUCCCCUUUCCUCUUAACCCAAUAAAAAAACUCCCUUUUUAUCACCCUGUAACCCCUUAAUUCGGGGUAGAAUUGGGAUGACUGGAUGAAGUUGAGUCUUCACUGACCAGAUGCUCUUCCUGAGGCCACUACUUAACCCAUUAAAUUGGAUUAUCCAAGCCAGUUUAUUUGUUAAAUUUAUAUGCUAUCCAUUUCAUUAUCCAAAGCAACUCUUAAUAAAAUAUU
rnacentral:lncRNA from 1 species